GUCACCGCCUGGCCCUCAGCCAUGACUCUGCGUCUGCCUGGUUCUUACCCAGAGGUUCCCCUCUGGGUUCCAGUCACGAGAUGACAUGCUGAAAGCAAACUAAGAAGACAUGGCUGGCCUGCUGACCCUGCCUGCUCUCAUCUCAGCCCUGAUACUUUUUAACUGAAUGACAUUGGCCAAGUGUCAUAAAUUGUUUAAUACAGUGGCUGCCUCAGCAUCCAUUUUCAGGCCUGACCUAAGUUGUCUGAAGCCCAGUCUCACUGUAUCACCUCUGGUCUGGGUAACACUUCCCCUCCCUGAGUGGUUGUUUGUAAUGCGGCCCAUUUGCUCUUCAUCGCACUGACCCAGAACCCACACAUCACACAGCUGCUGACCACGAUCAAACCUAACGGCCAACACCAGACUCCUGUGAAUAAGCCCCGCUUUGCACGUGUUCUUCUUGAAUCAGCCAAGCCACACCCCCACGGGAAAGCCCCAGGACAAAGCUCCAGGCCCUCCCUCUCCUCUCUGGCUUCCCGUGGCCCCUGAACUCCCCCUCGGGCUCCCUCUGCUCGCCGGACCUCUCUGGGAUGUGACCACCCUGGCUGCGAUGUGGUAACUAAAGACAGCAAAUACUGAAGCAGGAAAGAGAAGGUCCUUCUAACAGGAGAGACAUAAUGGCUGACUGGACCGGGGGAGGGAUAGUAAGAGUGACAGUAACAAGCCGUUAAGAGUCUGGAUAUAGUUUGAAGAAAGAGCCCACAGGAUCUGUGCUAACAGAAAUGAAGGACAAUGACAAGAUUUUUGUCUAAGCAACUGAAAAAUGGAGGUACUGGUUUGCUAACAUGAGUAAAAACAACGUAUGAGGAAGAAAUAUCAGGGGCCCAGUUCUGGGUAGGUUAACUUUGUUAUUAGACAUCUGAGUGGAGAUAUUGAGUUAAGGAACCUGGAAUUCAGACGAGAGGUCAGGGCUGAAGAUAUAAAUUCAGGAGUCAUCAUAAAUUCAGGAGUCAUCAUCAGAUAUAGAUAAUUCUUAAAGGAAUGAAAAAGAAUGAGACUACCCAGGGACUAAGUGAAGCUAGAGAAGCAGGGAGCCCAAGGACUGAAUCUGGGAUACUUCCAACACGAGGAGAAAGAGAACUGGCAAGGGUGACUGGAAAGAGGCCAGGGAAGAAUUCAAGAGUGGCGUGCCCAAAGACAGGUGAAAAAGCACCUGAAGAGGUGAAGAUCAAUUGCAACAAAUGCUGGAGAUGGCUCAAAAUGAGGACUUAGAAUUGACAAGGGAUUUAGCAUUAUGGAGAUCACUGGUGACCUGUGGAGAGUGGUUUCUGGUGGAGGACAAAGCCUGACUGGACAGGGUGAAAGACAGAAUGUAAGCAGAGGAAUUAAGAGCAGCAAGGAUGCACGCAUCUUUUGAGAAGUUUUACAUCCAACGAGUACAGUAGUAUGUGGCAGUAGCUGAGGGACUGUGGGGUCAGGACAGAUUAUUUUGUAAGACUGGAAAAAUUCUAUCAAUGUUUGAAUGAAUACUGAUAAAAGUGAUCUAGCAGAAGAGGUAAAGUGAAGAUGCAAGAGAUAGAAGUGCUACAGCAGGAAAGAGGGAAAAUAUCUACUGCCCAAGUACAAGUGUUAACCUGGGACAGGAACACCUAUAGAGAGACAAUCUGGACACACAAGAGAAAUGCACCAAAAAAUAAGACACACAGGCUAAAAACACACUGAUUUCCAAUGAGUGCUUGGUCCUUACCUUUUGUUGCUCUGUUCAUUUGCAACUUAUACCUAAUUAAUAACCACUCAGAUUUCCCUUCGUGUUUUUAUUGAAUGGGUCACUGACAAAAAUCAAUAAAGCACCUGGCAACUAGAAACAAACUACAAUCUAGAUCUUUCCAAUCAUUUCAUUGCAAACUAUUCCUAUUAAAUGUAAAACUAUGCUACUUAAGAGUUUUAAAACAAAUCCAAUUAUUUUUAUUCCUAUAUUUAAUGUCCGAAUGUGCAUUGAACAUUUAAAAACAAACAUUUAAAAAUACACAAAUACAGCCGAGAGCAGUGGCUCACACCUGUAAUCCCAGCACUUUGGAAGGCUGAGGCAGGUAAUGACCUGAGGUCAGGAGUUCAACACCAACCUGACCAAUAUGGUGAAAUCCUGUCUCUACUAAAAUUUCAAAAAUUAGCCGGGCAUGGAGGCAUGCACCUAUAGUCCCAGCUACUCGGGAGGCUGAGGCAGGAGAAUCGCUUGAACCCGGGAGGAGGAGGUUUCAGUUAGCUGAGCUCAUGCAACUGCACUCCAGCCUAGGCGACAGAGCGAGACUCCUCCAAAACAAACAAACAAACAAAAAAACCCUUUGUAUAAUCCAUGCAGCAGCAGUAGGUACUGACUCACUUCUAUGACUUGGAGCAUGACCAAAUGAUUUUUCAUUAUAUAGACUUAAAUUUGUUUUUGUUCUAAGACAAAGUCUUGCUCUGUUGCUCAGGCUGGAGUAAGUGGCAUGAUCACAGCUCACUGUAGCCUUGACCUGCCGGGCUCAAGCAAUCCUCCCACCUGAGCCCCUUGAAUAGCUGGGACCACAGGUGUGUGCCACCACACCCAGCUACAUUUUUGUUUUUUGUCGAGACAGGGUCU
rnacentral:lncRNA from 10 species